UCCGGUUUGUCACCGGCAGUCUCCCUAGAGUUCCCGGCCGAACCGCUGGCAACUAGGGACAAGGGUUGCGCUCGUUACGGGACUUAACCCAACAUCUCACGACACGAGCUGACGACAGCCAUGCACCACCUGUGAAGGUGCCCCGAAGGGAAGCCGUGUUUCCACACCGGUCACCAACAUGUCAAACCCAGGUAAGGUUCUUCACGUUGCGUCGAAUUAAACCACAUGCUCCGCUGCUUGUGCGGGUCCCCGUCAAUUCCUUUGAGUUUUAGCCUUGCGGCCGUACUCCCCAGGCGGGGCACUUAAUGCGUUAGCGCCGGCACGGGAGGAGUCGACACCUCCCACACCUAGUGCCCAUCGUUUACGGCGUGGACUAC
rnacentral:misc_RNA from 1 species